rnacentral:rRNA from 1 species
UACGGAGGAUGCGAGCGUUAUCCGGAUUUAUUGGGUUUAAAGGGUGCGUAGGCGGCCUGCCAAGUCAGCGGUAAAAUUGCGGGGCUCAACCCCGUACAGCCGUUGAAACUGCCGGGCUCGAGUGGGCGAGAAGUAUGCGGAAUGCGUGGUGUAGCGGUGAAGUGCAUAGAUAUCACGCAGAACCCCGAUUGCGAAGGCAGCAUACCGGCGCCCUACUGACGCUGAGGCACGAAAGUGCGGGGAUCAAACAGG